rnacentral:rRNA from 1 species
GAUGAACGCUAUCUACAGGCUUAACACAUGCAAGUCGAGGGGCAGCAUGGUCUUAGCUUGCUAAGGCCGAUGGCGACCGGCGCACGGGUGAGUAACACGUAUCCAACCUGCCGUCUACUCUUGGACAGCCUUCUGAAAGGAAGAUUAAUACAAGAUGGCAUCAUGAGUCCGCAUGUUCACAUGAUUAAAGGUAUUCCGGUAGACGAUGGGGAUGCGUUCCAUUAGAUAGUAGGCGGGGUAACGGCCCACCUAGUCUUCGAUGGAUAGGGGUUCUGAGAGGAAGGUCCCCCACAUUGGAACUGAGACACGGUCCAAACUCCUACGGGAGGCAGCAGUGAGGAAUAUUGGUCAAUGGGCGAGAGCCUGAACCAGCCAAGUAGCGUGAAGGAUGACUGCCCUAUGGGUUGUAAACUUCUUUUAUAAAGGAAUAAAGUCGGGUAUGGAUACCCGUUUGCAUGUACUUUAUGAAUAAGGAUCGGCUAACUCCGUGCCAGCAGCCGCGGUAAUACGGAGGAUCCGAGCGUUAUCCGGAUUUAUUGGGUUUAAAGGGAGCGUAGAUGGAUGUUUAAGUCAGUUGUGAAAGUUUGCGGCUCAACCGUAAAAUUGCAGUUGAUACUGGAUAUCUUGAGUGCAGUUGAGGCAGGCGGAAUUCGUGGUGUAGCGGUGAAAUGCUUAGAUAUCACGAAGAACUCCGAUUGCGAAGGCAGCCUGCUAAGCUGCAACUGACAUUGAGGCUCGAAAGUGUGGGUAUCAAACAGGAUUAGAUACCCUGGUAGUCCACACGGUAAACGAUGAAUACUCGCUGUUUGCGAUAUACUGCAAGCGGCCAAGCGAAAGCGUUAAGUAUUCCACCUGGGGAGUACGCCGGCAACGGUGAAACUCAAAGGAAUUGACGGGGGCCCGCACAAGCGGAGGAACAUGUGGUUUAAUUCGAUGAUACGCGAGGAACCUUACCCGGGCUUAAAUUGCAGAUGAAUUACGGUGAAAGCCGUAAGCCGCAAGGCAUCUGUGAAGGUGCUGCAUGGUUGUCGUCAGCUCGUGCCGUGAGGUGUCGGCUUAAGUGCCAUAACGAGCGCAACCCUUGUUGUCAGUUACUAACAGGUUCCGCUGAGGACUCUGACAAGACUGCCAUCGUAAGAUGUGAGGAAGGUGGGGAUGACGUCAAAUCAGCACGGCCCUUACGUCCGGGGCUACACACGUGUUACAAUGGGGGGUACAGAGGGCCGCUACCACGCGAGUGGAUGCCAAUCCCCAAAACCUCUCUCAGUUCGGACUGGAGUCUGCAACCCGACUCCACGAAGCUGGAUUCGCUAGUAAUCGCGCAUCAGCCACGGCGCGGUGAAUACGUUCCCGGGCCUUGUACACACCGCCCGUCAAGCCAUGGGAGCCGGGGGUACCUGAAGUGCGUAACCGCGAGGAGCGCCCUAGGGUAAAACUGGUGACUGGGGCUAAAU